rnacentral:lncRNA from 1 species
AUGUAUGUGUGAGUGUUUCAGUAGUGAGUGUAAGAGUGUUUCAUAGGUAUGUGUGUGAGAGUGUCUCAAUUAGUUAUGUCCUAAACGGCCCCUCAUAUUUUGGACCUUUGGAUUGGUUCCAUGUUUUGUUUUAUGUUAACACUAUUCAACAUCCCCACAGCACACUUUCCACUGCCCAUAUACAUAGGCUAAUCGAAAGAAUUGUGUGUUUGGUCAGUAGUUCAGUUGGUUGGUCACAUAUGUUGGUUUGCUGUUCAGGUUUGGUUUGUUGCAUUUUGUUUGGGUAUUUCCAACAUGGUAAAGAUGGUUUGUUGUUUCCUCCGUUCGGGCUCGGUCGGUCCUUGUGAUUUUGGUACUGGUUUUCUGUCCAAACCAUAUAAUCGCACAUUUUCUAAUCUUCCAUACGCUACACUAAUCCCUUUACAGAUUUCAUGAUACUUACUUUAUUCUAAUAAAUAACUUUAUCCCUUAUCAUGUGUGGAUCCCGAUCUUUGCUCUGACCCGAGCCUCGUCUUAAUGCAGCCAAGGAGAUGGAAGAGCGUUAUGAAUAAUUAUUAGAUGAUUGUGUUGUACAAUGAAAGACAGUAAAGAUUCAAUAUGAAUAAAUAAGGAUGGGAUUUUAUUUGAACAAUAAAAUAUGUGUUGGGCAAAUUAUAGAGAGGCUGAGAUUAUAGAUUUCAUAUUCAAAAGGCGAAGGGGUGAAAAAAUUUAAGAAAUAUAUUUAAGAAAUAUAGGCCUACUCAAAGCCCAAAUCAUUGAUAUCAUACCCUAUCCAAUAAUAAAGAAAUUUGAAUUUGAAUGGUAACAAUUCCGUUAAAUCCUCGUCCUCGUUUUGAACGUCUCACUCAUGGCAGAUCAGUGUGUUCUUUCUGAUUAGCUCUUAAUUGAGAUCACCUGCCACGCACCCCUUUAUUAAAGGUGAACACAAUGGGUUUGGUUUACUUUUUGCAUCGGCCUGUGUCAAUCGAGGUUGAGUUUAGUGAGGGUUGAAAGUUUUCGAUCUAGAUUGCAGAUCACUAUUGUCAAUUUAUACAAACUGAAAGCAUGCGUUGUUGCGUGUUUGUUUUUGUGGGCAUUUGACUGAACAGCCCAGACAAAUAUUGCUACCAACAUGGCACUUCGAAACAGACCACCGCAGUGAGUAAAAGUUAUUUUCCUUUAUUAAUUGUUGACGUUUUUGGGCUGUCUCCUCAGACACAAGCCAUCAGUAUCCCUGCUCUUUGCACCUUGACAUGCAUGUCGCCGCUGUUUGUUAACCUAGCUUUGCUGAUUUGUAUCUUGUGGUGUGUGUUUUUCUUAACAGGUGUUAGAUGACUGACAAGAUCUAUGGGGGGGCCCCCUUUGGGCCCCCCCAUACCAACUUAGUCUUCAAAGGAAUCUAGUGCCAUGGGACUCCAGUGUCUUCAAAACGUCCUCGGAAUACAUGUGUAUGAAUGGUCCACCGAAGGGUUGAUCUGGAAGCCACCACGGUCCACGCAGUAAUCUGCUGCGUGGGCCGUAGUGGCUUCCAGAGCCAUCUUUCGGUCUUGGUCAGGAUUUGUUACAGUUGCCCUCAAUGUAGCAGGCUACGGGUUUCUGAAGAAGCCUGCUUUACGUAGCAUUGGAGUACAAAUAUUGUGCAAAAUGCUCAUGUAAUUGCACUAGCACUAGUAACCUGUAGAUUAGCUUAGUUUAACAUCAUUCCGUGCUGUCUCUGUCAAAUGUGUAGCUUACUUUAAGUCCACAAGGCCCUCUGGUAAACCACGUUGGAACACCCCUGGACACGGUGAUUAGUCACUGGGUGUGUGCUAAAGUUUUGUUCCAUUUUUCACUAGUUGGUUAAGGUUUGGUAGAAUUGUUUGGAUGCUAGCGACGUGAUGGUGUAUGUACAAGAGCCUACCGUGGCCAGGCCACAGUUGCGACGGACACGGCCAGAUGGCCUAGUGUGAGUGCAACCUUGAUUGCAUUUGUAUACUGUACCAUUGGAUGUUUAUGCAAUUUGGCUUAAUUCAUCCGCAGUAAAGCUGCAUUUGACUAUUCCAGGGUCGUUUUGUACAGGCUAUCAUUGAAGGUUUGGAAGGUUUUGUUGGAGACAAACAAAGAAUCUUCAGGCAACAGAUGUGACAGCUGUGACUGCUCUCUCUCUCCUUCGUCUGCUGGGUCCUCUGUGUUUGCCUACCUGCUACACCAUGUUGACUAGUUUGUGGGAAGUUUUUUAUUAGGGGUCCAAGCCAACAGGUUGGAUCCCUAUUGUUUUUGUAAGGAUUAUUAUUAUUCCGACAUGCUAAUCCUAAAAGUGUGCCCACAGCCCAAACCGUAAAUGGUGCCGACACGCCAAUUGCAUGACUAGAUCCAGGGCCCUGAGUUCUAAGCAGACGACCAAAUCCAGACACGCCGGCCACUAGGUGGCGCUAUACCAAGGAAAGAUGCGUUUGGGGCUAUAACUCCCACACCGAACCUCCCACAGUCAAAAACUUGUACCCACAUAUUCACUGGAGUCUGCUGCAUCUUUUGGCCUAGGCCACGCCCAUUUGCGUCUAGAAUUUUUUUUCGCAAAAUCGCGAAAACCGCAAAACUGUUUUUUCCCUACUCCUCCC